UAACGCGUAAUCAACCUACCCUAUGGACGGGGAUAACCUCGGGAAACUGAGAAUAAUACCCGAUAGAACAUUAUGCCUGGAAUGGUUUAUGUUUCAAAUAAUUUAUUGCCGUAGGAUGGGACUGCGGCCUAUCAGUUUGUUGGUGAGGUAAUGGCCCACCAAGACUAUUACAGGUACUGGGCUCUGAGAGGAGUAGCCCGGAGAUGGGUACUGAGACACGGACCCAGGCCCUAUGGGGCGCAGCAGGCUGAGAAAACUUUGCAAUGUGCGAAAGCACGACAAGGUUAAUCCGAGUGAUUUCUGCUAAAGGAAUCUUUUGUCAGUCCUAGAAACACUGUUGAAUAAGGGGUGGGCAAGUUCUGGUGUCAGCCGCCGCGGUAAAACCAGCACCUCAAGUGGUCAGGAUGAUUAUUGGGCCUAAAGCAUCCGUAGCCUGCUUUGUUAGUUUUCGGUUAAAUCCAUACGCUCAACGUAUGGGCUGCCGGAAAUACUGCAAAGCUAGGGAGUGGGAGAGGUAGACGGUCUCGGGAGGAAGGGGUAAAAUNCUUUGAUCUCUCNAUGACCC
rnacentral:rRNA from 1 species